UACGGAGGGUGCAAGCGUUAUCCGGAUUUACUGGGUUUAAAGGGUGCGUAGGGGGGUAGGUAAGUCAGUGGUGAAAUCUUCAAGCUUAACUUGGAAACUGCCAUUGAUACUAUUUAUCUUGAAUACUUUGGAGGUAAGCGGAAUAUGUCAUGUAGCGGUGAAAUGCUUAGAUAUGACAUAGAACACCAAUUGCGAAGGCAGCUUACUACACAGUAAUUGACACUGAGGCACGAAAGCGUGGGGAUCAAACAGG
rnacentral:rRNA from 1 species